GGUGACCUCCUGGGAAGUCUUCGUGUUGCACCUUUU
rnacentral:rRNA from 1 species